UACAGAGGGGGCAAGCGUUGUUCGGAUUCAUUGGGCGUAAAGGGUGCGUAGGUGGCGCCGUAAGUCGGGUGUGAAAUUUCGGAGCUUAACUCCGAAACUGCAUUCGAUACUGCGGUGCUUGAGGACUGGAGAGGAGACUGGAAUUUAUGGUGUAGCAGUGAAAUGCGUAGAGAUCAUAAGGAAGACCAGUGGCGAAGGCGGGUCUCUGGACAGUUCCUGACACUGAGGCACGAAGGCCAGGGGAGCAAACGGG
rnacentral:rRNA from 1 species